CAGCGUUACAUUCCUAGCCCUAGGACCCAGGAGGGGGUGAUCUGUGAGCUGUAAGGGAGGCGCAGUCCCACCAGCGUUGGCUCCACCUACGUUAGAGUUGCAGAUGACCCAAAGCUGGGAGACAGAAAAGUGCACAGAAGUGAAAUUUGAAAAGAGCUUGGAAGUUCUGUACUAUUUCCAGAAUGCACCACCUCUUUACUUGGGCCUCGAUUACGAAAUGUAUGCUGUAAAUACUGAACAUCCUAGGAAAUGACGUCAGACUCUUCUGCAAUCCCUUCCGCACACCACUCUCGGGGAUCCCACGAAGAAUCGAGACUUGCCAGCUGGAGGCGCAGUGCUGGCUGGGGCAGGAGCAGACCCAGGCCUGAUAAAGGACAGGAAUCCUGAGGGCGUGGAUACGAAGAGCAGGCCCGAGUUCCAUCAAGCAUUCAGAAACUGCUGAGGAGGAUGGAGACAGGCGAGUGUUCAAAGGUCUGGCAAAGGCCCAGUGCCAGGAGUCACCUGAACUAAGGAGCAUGUGGGCAAGACAAUGAGAAGAACAGGCACCCAGCACCAGUCACAGAGUCCUGCCCUCCGGGGGCAAGCCGGCC
rnacentral:lncRNA from 1 species